rnacentral:lncRNA from 1 species
AAAAGAUCCAUAAAGUUUGGCCAAAUUCUGUUGAACAAAAGAAGUGACAAGUAUAUUUUGUUCCAGAAUUUGGAUUGCGUGUUUGCAGGUGACCCAGGAGUAAUAGGAGAACAGGAGGCCUGAACACUGCUGUUUCCCUGCAUCUCCAGCCAGCAGCUGCAGUUGGGUUCUUCCGUGCUCGUGGACUUCCUCCUCCAAGGCAUUUCCAGCAGCAGUUACCUAGAGGAAUGCACAAGAGCUGUCUGAGCAUGGAGCCAGCUAACAGAAGAAAUCCAGAGGAGAGGGAAAAGUGUUGUGUUUUUGAAGAACAGUUGAACAGGCCAGACAUCUUCAGCCUGUGAGGUGGCUGAGGAGAGACAUAGCAGAAGUCUAUAAAAUCAUGAGUGGAAAAAAUGAAUUGGUUGCUGCUCUUUCACCUGUUCCAGAAAAAGCACUUUCAGAAGAAACCAAAGGUGAAAACGUCGUGUCACCUGGGCAAAGGAACUAAAGUGAAAGAGCGAUCUCAGGUAUUUUGCUGUUGGUUUUUUUUUUUUGGUUUUUUUUUUUUUUCCCUUUCUGUUAGGCCAGAGCUUGCAUGAUUGUAAAGUUCCUUGUGUGCCUUGCAGCUCCAGGAGUUCACGUUCAAGAGCUGAAACAGAGCCAGCACCUGAUUAAGGCAGAUUCGGUCAGGUAAGACAAUAGACCCUGUGUUUUAAAGGGUAUGCCACAUUUCGCAGUUCCUCCUGCUUCCUUUUCCACUCCACAUGCACCAUGUACACACACUAGGCAAGUCAGCUUGAGUACCUUGUCUACAUGGAACUGAGGAAAAGGGACGAUUCAGAUCUUUCAAAUCCUG